GUUCUACUUCCUCUGUCCGAAAAAAUGUGUCUAUCAAAUGGAUGUAUCUAGCACUAAGUUAAUAUUAGAUACAUUCAUUUGAAAGACAAACUUGAGAUAAGCUUUUUUGAACGGAGGAAGUAGUAC
rfam:Triticum urartu cultivar G1812 contig382561, whole genome shotgun sequence.